UGAGCUCCAGAGCUGGUAGGCCGCUGCAGACCCGAGGGAGCCGAGGACUGGUCAGGGCUACCAGGACCAUUUAUGGACCCAAGCACGGAGGAGCUGCAAACACUGACAGAGGCCUUCUUCCCCGACACCAGGCGACCGUAUACAGAGCCAGGCCUGAGCCCACAUCUCCCAUCGCCCCGCUGAUUCCCCAUGUCAGGCGACCCCCGGAGAUGUAGAGUGGCGAAUUGGCUGCCCGCAGACCCAGAAGGGGAGGAGCCACUCCUCCCAAUGGACUACAGUUACACAUCUAAGGAGUAUAAACUGUGUCAGCUGAAUGUCUUACCUUGUGUUCUUUAAAUCGCCUACAAGUCUUCUAAGGGCUCAGAUUGGAAGGAAUGAGGGAUACAUGGCAAUACAGCAUACUACCGCCUCUCCAAAAACACCAUCUUCUGCUCCAGAAACUCAUGGGCAUUUCUUAAAAAUGAUCAUCACAACUCAGAUGCCCAAUGAUGAAGAUUUAAAACUAAAUGUCAACAUUAUCAACUAUUUCAC